rnacentral:rRNA from 1 species
UACGUAGGGAGCAAGCGUUUGUCCGGAAUCAUUGGGCGUAAAGCGCGCGUAGGUGGUCUCGUAAGUCCGCUGUGAAAGUCAAAGGCUCAACCUUUGAAAGCCGGUGGAUACUGUGGGACUAGAGUACGGAAGAGGCGAGUGGAAUUCCUGGUGUAGCGGUGGAAUGCGCAGAUAUCAGGAGGAACACCAAUAGCGAAGGCAGCUCGCUGGGACGUUACUGACACUGAGGCGCGAAAGCGUGGGGAGCGAACAGG